rnacentral:rRNA from 1 species
GAUGAACGCUGGCGGCGUGCCUAACACAUGCAAGUCGGGCGAUUCUCUUCGGAGAAGAGCGGCGGACGGGUGAGUAACGCGUGGGUAACCUGCCCUGUACACACGGAUAACAUACCGAAAGGUAUGCUAAUACGAGAUAAUAUACUUUUAUCGCAUGGUAGAAGUAUCAAAGCUUUUGCGGUACAGGAUGGACCCGCGUCUGAUUAGCUAGUUGGUAAGGUAACGGCUUACCAAGGCGACGAUCAGUAGCCGACCUGAGAGGGUGAUCGGCCACAUUGGAACUGAGACACGGUCCAAACUCCUACGGGAGGCAGCAGUGGGGAAUAUUGCACAAUGGGCGAAGCCUGAUGCAGCAACGCCGCGUGAGCGAUGAAGGCCUUCGGGUCGUAAAGCUCUGUCCUCAAGGAAGAUAAUGACGGUACUUGAGGAGGAAGCCCCGGCUAACUACGUGCCAGCCGCCGCAGUAA